UAAAAUCUAAUUUUUAUACGACUGCAAAAAAAUUUUUGUGGUCGUAUAUUGGUAUGACGUUGGCGUCGUCGUCGUCUGGCGUCGUCCGGCGUCGUUUGAAGACACAUUGGUUUUCGCACUCUAACUUUAGUUUAAGUGAAUGGAUCUCUAUGAAAUUUUACCACAAGGUUCAAUACCACAAAAGGAAGGUUGGGAUUGAUUUUGGGGGUUAUGGUACCAACAGUAAAGGAAUAAGGGGCCAAAAAGGGGCCAAAAAUAAGCAUUUUUGUAACUUCCAGACAUAACUUGUGUGUUAGUGUAUGGAUCUCUCUGACAUUGUACCACAAGGUUCCAUAUCACAAAAGGAAUGCUUGGAUUGAUUUUGGGGGUAAUUGCCUCAAAAUUUUAGGAAUUAGGGGCCAAAAAAGGGGCAAAAAACAAGCAUUUUUCUAGUUUCAUGACAAUAACUUGUGUGUAAGUGUAUGGAUCUUUCUGAAAUUGUACUACAGGGUUCCAUAUCACAAAGGGAAAGCUGGGUUUGAGUUUGGGGGUAAUUGCCCUAAACGUUUAGGAAUUUGGGGCCAAAAAGGGGCCAAAAAACACAUUUUUCUAGUUUCCAGACAAUAACUUGUGUUCAAGUGUAUGGAUCUCUCUGAAAUUGUACUGCAAGGUACCAUACCACAAAGGGAAGGUGAGGAUUAAGUUUGGGGGUGAUGAAUCAUAAGGGGGUUCAAAAAAAUUGGGGGGGGGAUUUUUUUUUUCCUUUUUUUUUUCUUUUAAAAUUUUCCAUUUUAAGUUGGUUAUUUCUGAUUUAUAUUUAAUAGCAAAUAAUAAUGAUAUGGUAGGAGAUACACACCAAACAGGAUGUGUAAAUUAUUAUAUAAUAAGUAUUGUGCAAUAGCAAGAAAUUUUCAAUUGCACAGUAUUGCACAAUAGCAAGAAAUCUUCAAAUGCACAGUAUUGCGCAAUAGCAAGAAAUCUUCAAUUGCACAGUAUUGCGCAAUAGCAAGAAAUAUCCAAUAGCACAAUAUUGCGCAAUAGCAAGAAAUUGUCAAUUGUACAGUAUUGCGCAAUAGCAAGAAAUAUUUAAUUGCACAGUAUUGUGCAAAAGAAGAUACUUCGUAUAAAUUGCUUAUUUCUUGACCAAUUUCAAUGGGGUUUUAUUCUUGAAUUCUUGGGGUUCUUUAAUAUGCUGAAUCUAACCGUGUAUUUAGAUUUUGGGUUUUGGGCCCCGUUUUUAAAUUGGUCUACAUUGAGGUCCAAAGGGUCCAAAAUUAAACUUUGUUUGAUUUCAUCAAAAAUUGAAUUAUUGGGGUUCUUUGAUAUGCCGAAUCUAACCGUGUAUUUAGAUUCUCAAUUUUUGGUUCCGUUUUCAAAUUGGUCUACAUUAAGGUCCAAAGGGUCCAAAAUAAAACUUAGUUUGAUUUUAACAAAAAUUGAAUUCUUAGGGUUCUUUGAUAUGCUGAAUCUAAACACGUAUUUAGAUUUUUGAAUAUGGGCCCAGUUUUCAAGUUGGUCCAAAUCGGGAUCCAAAAUUAAACUUUGUUUGAUUUCAACAAAAAUUGAAUAUAUGGGGUUCUUUGAUAUGCUGAAUCUAACCAUGUAUUUAGAUGUUUGAUUUUUGGUCUCCGUUAUCAACUUUGUCCACAUUGAGGUCAAAAGGGUCCAAAAUUAAACUUUGUUUGAUUUCAUCAAAAAUUGAAUUCUUGGGGUUCUUUGAUAUGCUGAAUCUAACCAUUUAUUUAGAUUUUGGAUAUUAGACCAUAAUAGGUGAAUGUCCAAUUUAAAAUUUUUAAGUUCUUAGACCACAUUCAUUCUGUGUCAGAAACCUAUGCUGUGUCAAAUAUUUAAUCACAAUCCAAAUGCAAAGCUGUAUCAAGCUUGAAUGUUGUGUCCAUACUUGCCCCAACUGUUCAGGGUUCGACCUCUGCGGUCGUAUCAAGCUGCGCCCUGCGGAGCAUUUUAUU